AAAGAGUUAAAUAUUUAAUAAAAUUUAUCGUUUUAAAGAUAUUUUAAAUAAGUAUUUUGAAAUGAAACGUUAUUCGUUUUUAAAUAUAUCUAGUUUUUUUAGAAAAAAAUUUAAUUUUAAAUUUAAAAAUUUAAAAUUUUAAUUAAUUAAAAUUUUAAAUUUUUAAAUUUUAUAUUUUAAGGGAUAAGCUUUAAAAAUUAAAUUUUUAUAAUUAAUAAUUAAUAUUUAUUGAAAUUUUUAUAAUUUAUAUUAUUAAAAAAUUUUAAUUUGUUAUACAUAAUUUCAUUAUUAAUUAAAAUUUAAUUAAAAUUUAAUUUUAUAUAAAAAAAUUAUUUUUAAUGGUUAAAAUUAAAAUAUAAUGAUAAAAUUAGUAUAUUUAAAUUAAUAUAGAAAUUUAAUUUAUAUUAUUUAUUUAAUUAAUAAAUUAAAAGGAAUUCGGCAAAUUAUAAUAUUCACUUGUUUAACAAAAACAUGUCUUUUUGUAAUUAAUUUAAAGUCUAAUCUGCCCACUGAUUUUAAUAAAUUGAAGGGCUGCAGUAUAUUGACUGUACAAAGGUAGCAUAAUCAUUAGUCUCUUAAUUGGUGACUUGUAUGAAAGAUUGAAUGAAAUAUAUACUGUCUCUUAAUUUAUUUAUAGAAUUUAAUUUUUUAUUUAAAAAGUUAAAAUUUUUUAAAAAGACGAGAAGACCCUAUAGAGUUUUAUUAUUAAAUUUAUUAUAAUUUAUUUAUAAAUUUAUAUAUUUAAUAAUUUUAUUAAUUUUAUUGGGGUGAUAAAAAAAUAAAAUUAACUUUUUUUAAAUUUUAACAUUGAUAGUUGAAAUAUUGAUCCAUUAUUAUUGAUUAUAAGAUUAAAUUACCUUAGGGAUAACAGCGUAAUUUUUUUUUUUAGUUCGUAUAAGAAAAAAAGUUUGCGACCUCGAUGUUGGAUUAAGAUAAAAUUUAAAUGCAAAAGUUUAAAAUUUUUG
rnacentral:rRNA from 1 species